GUUGAUACAGUGAAGAGAAGAGUAACUGCACGCAUCACAUAGAGAGAGCCCGGCUGGUGGAAAAGGGCAGUGAUAAAAGCAGUGAAGAUGAACUCGGAGUAUAUAAGUGGUUUACGCUACUUAUACGGCAGCAACCGUUAUCUUGUCAGAUUUCAGCUUAUUUGAGCGGAAUUAAUGAGGCAGUUGAUCUUAAGCAACUGUGAAUAAGGGUGGUAACACGGAAGUAUCCGUCCCUUUG
rnacentral:ncRNA from 1 species